rnacentral:rRNA from 1 species
GGGGGGGGGGGGGGGGGGGGGGGGCGGGGGCGGGGCGGGCGGCGGCGCGGGGGGGGGGGGCGCGGGGGGGGGGGGGGGGGCGGGCGGGGGAGGGGGGCAGCGGGGUCUACUUUUGCGUGGGGGCGAACGGAGGGCGACUUACGCUGCUACCGCAUCCGACCUACGGGGGAACGCCGGGGCGCUUCGGCCCUUGCGCGCUUGCAUGAGCCGAUGUCGGAUGAGCUAGUGGGCGGGGUAAAGGCCCACCAAGGCGACGAUCCGUAGCUGGUCUGAGAGGAUGAUCAGCCACACUGGAACUGAGACACGGUCCAGACUCCUACGGGAGGCAGCAGUGGGGAAUAUUGGACAAUGGGCGCAAGCCUGAUCCAGCCAUACCGCGUGGGUGAAGAAGGCCUUCGGGUUGUAAAGCCCUUUUGUUGGGAAAGAAAAGCAGCAGGUUAAUACCCCGCUGUUCUGACGGUACCCAAAGAAUAAGCACCGGCUAACUUCGUG